UACGUAGGGUGCGAGCGUUAAUCGGAAUUACUGGGCGUAAAGGGCGCGCAGGCGGCCCUCCAAGUCAGGCGUGAAAGCCCCGGGCUCAACCCGGGAAUAGCGCUUGAGACUGGGGGGCUUGAGUUCGGGAGAGGAGAGUGGAAUUCCCAGUGUAGAGGUGAAAUUCGUAGAUAUUGGGAAGAACACCGGUGGCGAAGGCGGCUCUCUGGGACGGUACUGACGCUGAGACGCGAAAGCGUGGGGAGCGAACAGG
rnacentral:rRNA from 1 species